rnacentral:rRNA from 1 species
UACGUAGGGGGCAAGCGUUGUCCGGAAUCAUUGGGCGUAAAGCGCGUGUAGGCGGCUCGGUAAGUCUGCUGUGAAAGUCCAGGGCUCAACCCUGGGAUGCCGGUGGAUACUGUCGAGCUCGAGUCCGGAAGAGGCGAGUGGAAUUCCUGGUGUAGCGGUGAAAUGCGCAGAUAUCAGGAGGAACACCAAUGGCGAAGGCAGCUCGCUGGGACGUGACUGACGCUGGGACGCGAAAGCGUGGGGAGCAAACAGG